GCCUACGGCCAUACCACCCUGAGUGCGCCCGAUCUCGUCUGAUCUCGGAAGCUAAGCAGGGUUGGGCCUGGUUAGUACUUGGAUGGGAGAAGGGCAAGCCCAAGUGCCAUCC
rnacentral:rRNA from 1 species